GUUGACAUUACACUGUAAAAAAAUAAUUCAGUGGCUUAGUAAAUUUCACAAAAAUAAAGAGCUAUAUUAACUUAAUAAAAUCUUUUGAAAUCAUUUAAGUGAUAUUUUGAGUGGGUCAGAUUAAAAAUAAUAAUUAAAAAUCCAACAAAUAAUUUCUCUAAAAUUUACAUAUAUUAUUUAAGUUUAUGUAAUGAAAAUAAAUAAGUAUUUAACUAACUAAUUAUUUUUUUUAAUAUACCUUCAAUAUUUCUGGUGAAUUCUAAUAGAAAUAUUUGAUAAUUAUUUACUUGUACUGAUCUGUUUUAGAAACUAAAAUUAUUAAGUAUUUCCUACCAAUUUUCCUAAAUAAAGUUCCAGCUUAAUAAAUGACAGUUAAAUAAAUUGAGUAAAUUUCGCGGCUAAAGUGAUCACGUGUGCAGCUCCGCUCCGCAGGAAAAAAAAAAUCUGCUUUCCUCAGCAGCGACGUCGACUAGCCAUACACCUCACAACUCCUGGUAAGUAACGUUAGUCAGCUAAUCCUACUUACGUUUGUAACACUUUAUUAAAAAGUUAAUAAUUAUUAAGCAUUUCCUAACAAUUGUCUUUGUAUUUUACGUCAUAUUCAACAAGUUUCGUAGCUUAAUCGAAGUCACCUGAAGGACGGCUUUCCUCAGCAACGGCAAGACCCGCACUCCUCUCAUAUUGUGAAGUUUAACAGGUUUUGCGGCUCAAACAAGAAGCACCUGUCACUGAAGGACUGCUUUUCUCAGCUACGACGUGAACAGCAUUACUCGAAUUUCCUGGUUCAGCUGAUCUACCCGUCUUCGUACACGCAGAGUUGGCAGAGGAGGUCAUAAAAAUCUACAUCCUUCGGAACAAUGAUGGGGCGGUCAGCGAUGUAAUCUUGGGAAUCACAGCAGAGCCUGCUGCCAUCUUUUGGGAGUCACAUUGGAUUUGAGAUAUCCCAAGACCCACAAAUACAGGUCCUUCUCCAAAAAUUUGCAUAUUGUGAUAAAGUUCAUUAUUUUCCAUAAUGUAAUGAUAAAAAUUAAACUUUCAUAUAUUUUAGAUUCAUUGCACCCCAACUGAAAUAUUUCAGGUCUUUUAUUGUUUUAAUACUGAUGCUUUU